AACACACGCACACAUACACACAUGCGCACACACUCGGCGGCUCAGCCGGUAGCGCUCCACCAGUGUAGCCACAGCAGCAGCAGCAGCAGCCUGGAGGAAAAGUGAGGAGUGGACGUGAAAGAAAGAAAGGAGAGCAAAGAAAGGAAGGCCCGUGAGGAAAACAGGAAGAGGACUCACAGGCAGUUCUUCUGAGCUGAACUGGACCAGAGACAGGAGACACAUCAGCAGUGUGAACGUUCAGCUGUCUUGUGGCCUGCCGGUGGCGCUAUCCAAGAGUGGAAAAGCUUUUUCUCCACAAACUGUGGAUUCUCCCCCAAACCAAACCCCAGUGACUGGGCCGCGAUUCAUAGCUUUGAAAAAGCCCUGGAAAAUACCCGUAGGAUCGUGUCAUCACUCCGAGUCUGUACCCAGGGACUUCCUUUAAGUGCCCAGGCACUGGAUCUUGAAAGCUUUAUCUUCUGCAUAAACCAAUAGAAACACUGUAGCUUUAAGGUGGCGAUAGCUUCGGCUGGCCCCCUGAACCAAAACCUUUCGCUGUGACUGUGAGGGUUGUGACCUUUCUGACUGACGCUUCAAACGGACACUCGAGAAAAAAAAAAGAAGAAGAAGAAGAUCUCGGUCAGAGAGGAGCUUCCGAGCGAGUGGCGGCGAAUCAAACCAAACCAAAAAAAAACAAA